rnacentral:rRNA from 1 species
UACAGAGGUCCCAAGCGUUGUUCGGAUUCACUGGGCGUAAAGGGUGCGUAGGUGGCGAGGUAAGUCGGAUGUGAAAGCUCGGAGCUCAACUCCGAAAUGGCAUUGGAAACUACCUUGCUCGAGGGUUGGAGGGGGGACUGGAAUGCUUGGUGUAGCAGUGAAAUGCGUAGAUAUCAAGCGGAACACCAGUGGCGAAGGCGGGUCUCUGGACAGUUCCUGACGCUGAUGCACGAAGGCCAGGGGAGCAAACGGG